rnacentral:rRNA from 1 species
GAUGAACGCUGGCGGCGUGCCUAAUACAUGCAAGUCGAGCGAACGGACGAGGAGCUUGCUCCUCUGACGUUAGCGGCGGACGGGUGAGUAACACGUGGAUAACCUACCUAUAAGACUGGGAUAACUUCGGGAAACCGGAGCUAAUACCGGAUAAUAUUUUGAACCGCAUGGUUCAAUAGUGAAAGACGGUCUUGCUGUCACUUAUAGAUGGAUCCGCGCUGCAUUAGCUAGUUGGUAAGGUAACGGCUUACCAAGGCAACGAUGCAUAGCCGACCUGAGAGGGUGAUCGGCCACACUGGAACUGAGACACGGUCCAGACUCCUACGGGAGGCAGCAGUAGGGAAUCUUCCGCAAUGGGCGAAAGCCUGACGGAGCAACGCCGCGUGAAUGAUGAAGGUCUUCGGAUCGUAAAACUCUGUUAUUAGGGAAGAACAAAUGUGUAAGUAACUAUGCACGUCUUGACGGUACCUAAUCAGAAAGCCACGGCUAACUACGUG